GGAUGGACGAUACCAGAACAAGACCCUCUAAAUCAACUACGAAAGUCUCAUAGGAAAUGUCAUAAACUGAAGCAGUGGGUCUGUACCAGGUAUGUAUGUCUGUAUGUAUGUCUGUAUGUAUUUGUAAGUGUCUGUGUGUAUUAUAUAUGUAUGUAUGUAUGCAUGUAUAUGUAUGCAUAUACAUACAUACAUGUACUACAUGUAUUACAUAUAUUACGUGUAUUACAUAUAUAUGUAGUAUAUUUAUACUACAAAUAUGUAUAUACAUAUAAUACACACACACAUAGGCACACACGCAUGUGCACACAAACACACAUGUAAAAUAGCUAUAGGUUUAGUAUUGUAUGGUACUCCCUGGUGUGAGAACGAAUUAGGCUUCUGACUCUUAUGCCUGCUCUUGUGACUCUUUUCCUCUUGUUUACCAAGGCAGACUACCAUGAUAGUUUUUGCUUCAUCUUAUUGUAUUUUAUUUUGUCAUGUUAAAAAAAAAAUCAAGAAAGGAAAAUAUAUUAUGAUACAGAAAGGCAUCUCUAACAGUGAAGUUUCACUCCUUCCUUUAGAAAAUUCGGUCAGAAUUCAAAUAAAAACUUAACAAUGCACAUCACAAUCUCAGAAAAAUAAGAACAACCCAAACUACAAACUAAUACCUGGAAAAAAAAAAGAAUAAAGACCAGUAUAGAAAUUAAUGUACUGAACUCUAAAACACAGAGUUCUUUCUUUGAAGAGAAUAACAAUUCCUUAGCCCAAAUAACCAAAGAAAGGCAAGACCAAAUUAAUAAAAUUCAAGGUUAAGAUGAGGACAAAAUAAAAUGUAGUACUGAAAACACAUGAGGUCUUUAGUAAUUAAUAUGAAAAGCAACAUUUAAAAAGAAUGAAGUAUCUAGAAGAAAGUUAUAAAUUCCUCAACAGGUAUGAUCUAUAAAAAUUAUAUUAAAAGGAAAUUAAAAAAAACUAAAGAUACAGAAAGCAACAAAACUGAAGCAGUACAUCCUACCAAUAAAGAAAAGCAAAGAAUAGAUUCAUUGCUAAAAUUACCAGUUCUUUAUAGAAGAACAAACGGCAAAAAACCUCAAAGUGUUCUACCAAACAGGGAAUGAAAACUACUAAAGCCAUUCUACAAAAAUAUUAUUUUGAGAGUUCCAAACCAGGUAAGAGCACUUAGAAAAGAACACACCUCAAACAUACUAAAAGGCUAUAAAAUAACCUGAGACUAUUGUUAUGUUAAAUAAAAAAAAAUACUGAAGUCAUUUUUCUCUAAUAUCAGACAUGUGACAAGGGUGUUCAGUUUCUAUAAUAUUAUUCAAUGUAGCACUCUGAAGUCAUAGAGAAAACAAGAAAAACCAGAAC
rnacentral:lncRNA from 1 species